AACGAACGCUGGCGGCGUGCUUAACACAUGCAAGUCGAACGAUGAAGGGGAGCUUGCUCCCUGGAUUAGUGGCGAACGGGUGAGUAACACGUGAGCAACCUGCCCCUAACUCUGGGAUAACGCUUCGAAAGGAGUGCUAAUACCGGAUAUGAGCCUGGAAGACAUCUUCUGGGUUGGAAAGUUUUUCGGUUAGGGAUGGGCUCGCGGCCUAUCAGCUUGUUGGUGAGGUAAAGGCUCACCAAGGCGACGACGGGUAUCCGGCCUGAGAGGGCGACCGGACACACUGGGACUGAGACACGGCCCAGACUCCUACGGGAGGCAGCAGUGGGGAAUAUUGCGCAAUGGGCGAAAGCCUGACGCAGCGACGCCGCGUGAGGGAUGAAGGUCUUCGGAUGUAAACCUCUUCUAGCAGGACGAAGCGAAAGUGACGGUACC
rnacentral:rRNA from 1 species